rnacentral:rRNA from 1 species
UACGUAGGGACCAAGCGUUGUUCGGAUUUACUGGGCGUAAAGGGCGCGUAGGCGGCGUGACAAGUCACUUGUGAAAUCUCCGGGCUUAACUCGGAACGGCCAAGUGAUACUGUCGUGCUAGAGUGCAGAAGGGGCAAUCGGAAUUCUUGGUGUAGCGGUGAAAUGCGUAGAUAUCAGGAAGAACACCGGUGGCGAAAGCGCUCUGCUAGGCCGCAACUGACACUGAGGGACGAAAGCUAGGGGAGCGAAUGGG